rnacentral:rRNA from 1 species
UACGGAGGGUGCAAGCGUUAUCCGGAUUCACUGGGUUUAAAGGGUGCGUAGGAGGGCAGGUAAGUCAGUGGUGAAAUCCUGGGGCUUAACCCCAGACUGCCGUUGAUACUAUCGGUCUUGAAUGUCGUGGAGGUGAGCGGAAUAUGUCAUGUAGCGGUGAAAUGCUUAGAUAUGACAUAGAACACCAAUUGCGAAAGGCAGCUU